GGGGCGAGGGUACGGGGGGCAGAGAUGCGAGGAGCAGAGAUGCAAAGGGGAGGGAUGGGGAAAGGCAGAGAUGCGAAGGGGGCAGAGAGGCAAAGGGGAGGGCUGUAAGCGAGAGAGGUGCAAAGGGGGAGGCGAAAAGGGAGGGAUGCAAAGGGGAGGGAUGCAAAGGCAGAGGAGGAAUGCAAAGGGAAGAGGUGGACAAGACGGAGACUGCAAAAAGGGAAGAUGUGGAAGAGCAGAGACGGAAAAGCCAGGCACAGUCCGGGAUGAGUGCAGAUCCUGCCAGACACUCCCAGGACCCGGGGGAUCCACCGGCUGAUCUGAGAGGUUCUUCAGUGCAGUGUGAAUACUUUUGUGCUGUGAACUCAGCGUGGCUCUGACAAGUGCUGUAGCCAAAACCAGCUAAUCAGAGGAGCACCAAUAGAGCCAAUUACUGCUCAGGCUGCACUUGCAGCCACUCAUGCAUGUGCCACAGUUAUUCAUUCACUUCCUCUGCUUAGAUAGCCUUGUAGACUUUGAGACAGGCUCAUGAUUUUCCCAGGCAGGAGCUCUUCCUUUUUUUUUCAUACAUUUUUACAGAUAUUUAAAUAAAAUAUUUCUCCCCCUAGGCUAUGUAAUUUUCUCUGCUGUUUCUGUGGCAAUGUGGGUGAUUGAAACCUUUUAAUAAAACAUUGCUCUGCUCAGUC